rnacentral:rRNA from 1 species
UCCUGGCUCAGAGUGAACGCUGGCGGCAGGCCUAAUACAUGCAAGUCGAACGGCAGCACAGCAGAGCUUGCUCUGUGGGUGGCGAGUGGCGGACGGGUGAGGAAUACGUGGGAAUCUGCCCAGUCGUGGGGGAUAACGUAGGGAAACUUACGCUAAUACCGCAUGCGCCCUUCGGGGGAAAGCCGGGGACCUUCGGGCCUGGCGCGAUUGGAUGAGCCCACGUCGGAUUAGCUAGUUGGCGGGGUAAAGGCCCACCAAGGCGACGAUCCGUAGCUGGUCUGAGAGGAUGAUCAGCCACACUGGAACUGAGACACGGUCCAGACUCCUACGGGAGGCAGCAGUAGGGAAUAUUGGACAAUGGGCGCAAGCCUGAUCCAGCCAUGCCGCGUGAGUGAAGAAGGCCCUCGGGUUGUAAAGCUCUUUUGUCCGGAAAGAAAAGCGCCGGGUUAAUACCCUGGUGUCCUGACGGUACCGGAAGAAUAAGCACCGGCUAACUUCGUG